rnacentral:lncRNA from 1 species
UCUUCAAGUGACCACUGGAUUCUUGAGUUGAGUCUUCAAAUUGUAACACUGUAGCACUUGGCUGUGCCUCAGAGCUGUAACACUUGGCUAGAGCACUGAGCUGUUCUUCUUUGCCACAACAGAAGAACACCAUGAAGAAAAGAAUCUGGAGCAGAUGUGGUGGGCAUAUGUACUGGAGGCAAACUUCAGCUAGAGAAGAAGUCUUAGAUGGAUUGAGGCAUGCAUUAAGAUGGG